UCCAUCGAGCUGUUAGAAAUAAGUCAUGCGUUCAUGUGCGUGCGUGCGUUGUGUGUGCUUGUGGCAUGCGUGUGUGUCGCUGGGUAGGCGUGAGAGCCGGAGCUAGCUAGCCAGGCCGAACUUGGUGGCUGCUAGGUGUGGUUGUUAGCGCAUGCAUGCACUGGUAGUUAGCUGGUUAGCCGGCCUGGAGUUAGUGGCCGGUAGUGGUGGCCCUGUGGUGCUCUGGGAACGAGUUCGUGCUCGUGGGUGUUGGCGUUUGAGCGCCGGAAACCUCCUGUGUCCACCUGUGUCUUCUUCUUCCCUUCUUCUUCUACCUCGGUCUGCAGCAGAACAAGAGAGCUGUGAGAGGUAGGCGAGAGCUAGGGCUAGUCGGCAACAACACGAGCUUCGACUUCGAGCACGUAUAUAAUCACUUACCAGGCCAGGAGCCUCCGUUGUGGUAGCUCCACCUGGUGUUCUUGGGGUCACAGCCGGUGACGUUCUGCCACUCGUGGCCCUCGAUGGCGGGGUAGCAGAUCUUGAGCGGCAUC
rnacentral:rRNA from 1 species